UGGGAGGAAAUAGGUAGCCAAGCAUUUUGUUUUUCUCACCCUACAUGUGGACUUCAUUAUGUAAGGAAUUAUGAACUAAUUAUUCUAUCCACAUGGCUUUAACCAGCCUAUUUUGUUUCUGACCAGAAUGGCGUCUGAAAUUAGGAUUUUUCUCUACCAGUAGUUUAUAAAUUUUUACCUUUUGUAACUCAUCACCUGCCUGCCCAUUUUUUCUGACUGCUAUAUGGAAAAGAACAAGAAUCUGGCCUUUGAAGGGUUUGCCAUAGCAUGUUUCAUCAGCCAAAGGCGCUAGGCGAGCCUCCCCAGGGAGAACCUUCCACAAACGGGGAGCCACUGCAGAAAAGGCCCGUUCUCGUGUUGCUGUCCACCAGACAACGCACAGCAAUGAUUCAGACCUACAUUGCAAAAAAAUAAACAUCCAUUCCUGCGGGCCCCAUGACCGCCACCUGCUAACAUAUUGACUGAUGAACAGGGAACAGGUGCACAGGCAACAGAAAGGAAAAGAGUCAUCCGUCAGAGCUAAGGACCAGGAAUUUUCAGAGAGAAUAUCUGACGUCAGAGACAGAGCCUCCAUCUCAGCUAGAGGGAUCUAAACAAGGGAGAGAUGAUCAAACAUAAGAAACCAGGACACAUGUAAAUGUCUUUGAGAAAAGAAAUGCUAUUAUCAUCACCAUUACCGCCUAAAUACUAAGGUAGUUCCCCUUCUAAGCAAGUGCAUUUGUAUUGUGCGUAUUAUUUUGUGGAUAAAGCUAAAAGGAAAUGGAGACAAAGUUUAAUUUUCUAAAAGUUCUAAACAGGCUUACAUAUAAUGCAAGGUGGAAAUCACCAACUGCACAAUAAAGAUGCACUGAUUAAUAUAUAGUCUUUUGAGGCGCUAACUGAGGGAGCUAAAGCUUCAGCUGCUCUUGAAUUACUUUUUAAAACCAUGCCUAAUUACAUUUAAAUGUUCCAUGCUUCCAGAAAUUCUACUCCUAAAUGUUAUAAUAAUAUUCUGCUUGUGUUUGGUCAGCGGCUCUGAAUUUGUUGCUGUUGUUGCUGCUGCUGCUGCUUUUUAAAAAUGAAUUUUGCAAGCUGGGGUCCAAACAGCUACUUUAUUUGCACCCAAAGUAAGGAUGGUCAAAUUUAUCAAUUUUGGAUUCUCUCCUUUCCUCAUUUUCAAGUCAUAAGUGCACUUUUCCACAUCUCCAGUUCAAUGUGCAUUUUAAAAAAAAGUCCUCAAGAACGUUCCCUAGCAUUUUAGUGUGAAUUUCUCCCAUGAGUUUGUAUAUAAUUUUGCCUGACAUACACAUUUUUUUCAAAGAAUUUCCCCCUAAUAUAUAAUGCAUUUUUCUUUGCUAUUUUCAUUAAUAUAUAUAUUAGGCAAACUUUGCACCCCAGUAUAUUCACAGAGUAUAUUUUCAUACACUUGCAAAAUUCAGGGAAAUGCAAAUUUCAGAGUAUAUUGCUUCAGAAAGUGAGUUAGGUUAGUCUGCCUUUAAAUUCAAACUGAACUGAAUUUCUCCCCCAUCUCCACAUGUACCUAGGAUUGGGUUUUGCUAGCCAAAAGGCACAACUUUUGCUGUUUAAAUAGCACAUUUUUUCCUGCCAGUUUCAAAAUUGCUUGCUCAGUGGCGGAGGGAGCUGGAGUUCAAGUUCCACAACCCCAAAGCCCCCUUGGGCAUUCAGAACUACUGAGCCUAGCUCUUUGGAUCCUGAACCCUGCUAGGUGUUCAGUAUAUUAUGUCUUCUCAAUUUGAAAUGCUAUAGUUGCAUUGCAGAUCUACUUUGUUGUGGUGAGAUCUCAGGAGUACUUCUGUACCCUAGUUUAGAAAAGUUUGAUGGAAUCAGUGGAACGGCUGAGGAAUUGCUGGCUUUCAUGGCUCCUUAGAUUUAUUUGAAGCAAUUACGCAAAACAAAUACUAGUGGACAUGCACGGAACAUUUUCUGUGUCACAUUCAAUAAAAUAAUAAUGUACUGCUAAUCCCUUUUAAUCUGAGAACCAGCUGUUUCAAACCAAUAAACAAGCAAACCUAAAUGCUGUCUUUAACAGUAUGGUUUAAAAAUUGGAUGUUGAGAUCCCUGCAUUGCAGGGGGUUGGGGCUAGAUUGAGGAAGCAAGCCAAAGAGGAAGCCCUCCAGCUCACGCCUCCGUUAAAUGGUCCCGGCCACGCCCCCCCAGCCAGCGGAUUGGCUGGCUGGGCCCCGACGUGGCUGGGAUCCCCUGGGCAAUAGGGGACUAUAUCCCCCGCCCCCAGUGGGGAGUGGGUGGCCACGUGGUGCACCGCAACUCCUCCCCACUGGGAAGUGGAGCAGAUAUAACAAGAAAGGGUUCUAAUCUACGUAACAGAGGAAGUAAAAGUAAUUCUUUAAUACUGUUUAAUCCAAAGAAAAUUGGUGUAUCCUUCUUGUGUAUACCAUUAGCAGACUUGAGCAUAUCAAAGUUGAGGGAUAUCAGUCCAGCUCUUUCCACUACCGUUAAUGGGAUCAUGGUCUAAUGCUGUGACUUAUUUGUUUUAAAAAAUGAAAUCCAACCCUUUAUUUCAAAGUUCUCUCUAAAUAAAUACAAUUUAAGACCUCAGAGGGGCCCUAUAACAGAUGAGUGUCAAAUGAGCCUGACUCCCUCCUUUCGCAAUCUUCACAGAACCCUAGCCCAAUGGUUGCCAUCAAUUUGAUUUGAAUUAAUUUUAUAAUGAAUGAUUUUAGAAUGUUGUACUAUUUUAUUGUUCUUAGCUGCCCUGAGCCCGGCUUCAGCUGGGGAGGGCGGGAUAUAAAUAAAAUUUAUUAUUAUUAUUAUUA